rnacentral:rRNA from 1 species
AUUGAACGCUGGCGGCAGGCCUAACACAUGCAAGUCGAGCGAGCGGCGGACGGGUGAGUAAUGUAUGGGGACUGCCCGAUCGAGGGGGAUAACUACUGGAAACGGUAGCUAAUACCGCAUACUAUCGGAUAACCCAUAUGGGAUGAGCUAGUAGGUGAGGUAAUGUGUCACCUGGGCGACGCGCCAUAGCUGGUCUGAGAGGAUGAUCAGCCACACUGGGACGGAGACACGGCCCAGACUCCUACGGAGGCAGCAGUGGGGAAUAUGGCACAAUGGGCGCAAUCCUGAUGCAGCCAUGCCGCGUGUAUGAAGAAGGCCCUAGGGUUGUAAAGUACGUUCAGUCGGGAGGCGGUACCGACAGAAGAAGCACCGGCUAACUCCGUGCCAGCAGCCGCGGUAAUUC